rnacentral:tRNA from 1 species
AUCUGAAUAGCUUAUGUUUAGAGCGUGACAUUGAAGAUGUUAAUGAGGCAUUAUUGGCCUUUAGGUG